rnacentral:sRNA from 1 species
GCUGGGCCUGGUGGCUCACACCUGUAGUCCCAGCCACUCAGAGGCUAAGGUGGGAAGACCACUGGAGCCCAGGAGUUUAAGACCAGCAUGGGCAAGAGAGAGGGACCGUGCUU